UUAUCUCACAUGACUUCCCAGUAAGAACUACCAACGCUCCUUUCCAAGUGUCCACUCUGCCCUGUCCCCACUGCCUUCAGCCCAGCCCAGUGCACACGGCUCCGCUGAGGGGGGGGUCUAAAUCGCACUCAGCCCCUGCAAGGCUCUGGGAGUGCCCACUUGUCCCAGGAGUGUGUCCAGCCCCAUCU